CACCUCGUAUCUCCUCAAUCCCGACAUGUCCUGGGUUCCGAACGUCUCCUGGGGAGCGGCAUGAUUGGAUCAAGGAUUCCCCAACCCCAGGUCCCUUUCUGUCAUUCUCGGGACCCGACUGACUUGUUCUCGGGACUGGUUUGGGGGUGCAGUGUGGUGAACCUAGAGUUGGAGCGAAUGGAGCUUUGGAACCCAGCUUCCCGGCAGUCCUCGGUGUGAAGGGAAGAAGUUAAGGACCACAUCUGGGAAACUUUCAGGGGCAUCCUUGUGAGAAGGGGCUCAGCAAGAAGAAGUGACACCAGAUCCCUGAGACACCUGGAUCCUUGAUCACCUGCCCGGGGGGCUGAGAGAGUUUGGCUCGUUCAGGGAACCGAUACGGCACCAGGCAGUCUGAGAUGGACACAGCCCCGCAACCUUCCGCCACCCUAAGCCUCCCCUCAGCCUUACCAGAGGACGUCCAGAGGAUCAGCAGGCUGAGGGCCAGCAGUGCGGCUGCAUGGGAUGCCAUGGAGGGUGAGCAGAGACGAACUGCCAGCUCCCCCUGGCUGUUGGAUGGAGGAUCGACCAAAGUGGUAUAGAAGCCUGGAGGCGGGAUUGAAGGCAACGGCAACAAUCCAGGGAGGACAGGAGAUUGCUGGGAGUCGUUGAGAAGUGGUCAGAUUCUGGAAAUACUUUGAAGGUAGAGCCAAUGGGCUCUGCUCUCAGAGUUCAGCAAAGUAUAUAAGAGAAAGAAGAGAAAGAGACAGAGAAAAUAUGGCAACGUUUCUGGCUUAAGCAAUGUGAUGGUUGGAGUUACAUCUACCCAGAUGUAGAGGACUGCAGAGGAGUGGGUUUGUGGGAAGGCCUAGCACGGUGGUCAUCCAGCCCAGAUCUCAGGCCCCGGGCCCCAUGGGUGGAAGAUUUAAGGCAACAACUCCCAAGCCUUUGGUUUAGAUGGUCCACUGGAGGGGGGAGUGGGGGGAGGUUGGAGACCAGGGAGGUGGGUAGGUCUGUAACAGUUUCUGACCAGGCACAUAGAGCCCUCAGUGUGCUAUAUGCUUCACCUAGUUCACCCUCUUCUCAGCCAAGUGGGUUCCUGGUUCAGUGUGAACUCUGGACAAAUCUCCCAGCUCAGGGCAGUUCAACCCAGCCUGGCACCACACUCUUCCGAGAAGCCCGCGCAGCUUUCAUGCUCCCUGGUCUGAUCAAAUCCAUGCCUCAGGGGUCGCAGAUCUUGGAUAGAGGGCAUUUUAGCCAUUGGGGCAGGGAAGAGAGCAGCUGGGCCUGGGAAGGCAACCAAGGCCAGGUAGAGGUGGGAGUACAGAGGGGUAAAGGGUUGUGGGGGGAGGAUCUAGAUUAGAUACUUAGUAAAUGUCUGUUGAAUGUAUGAAUGUGCGUCUCCCGAGCUGUGUCCAUGGGACUGAGCGUGACUGUUGUGCCUGUCAUCCAUGUGUGUGAGCUGUCUGUGGCUGUGUCUACGUCUGUGUGCCUGACUGAUGUACCUCCCCUCCCUGGCCUGCAGAGGGCGCCCCUGGCCGGGAAGGAAGCUCUAGAGGGGGCGCGGCCCUGGCGGAGGGGCAGGGGUACGCUGGCGAGCGAGGGGGUGCUAUAGCAAGGAUGGAGCGCGGCCCGGACCGGGCGGGCUCCCCAGAGAGGCUGGGAAGGGCGUUGGGCCCUAAGUCCGUGGGCCUGGCA